AGGAUAAACGCUGGCGGCGUGCCUAAUACAUGCAAGUCGAGCGGCAGCGCGGUCUUCGGACUGGCGGCGAGCGGCGGACGGCUGAGUAACACGUAGGAACGUACCCCAAAGUGAGGGAUAAGCACCAGAAAUGGUGUCUAAUACCGCAUGUGCUCUAAGGAGUAAAGCUUCGGCGCUUUGGGAACGGCCUACGCAUGAUUAGCUUGUUGGUGAGGUAAUGGCUCACCAAGGCGACGAUCAUUAGCUGGUCUGAGAGGAUGAUCAGCCAGACUGGGACUGAGAACGGCCCAGACUCCUACGGGAGGCAGCAGUAGGGAAUUUUCCACAAUGGGCGAAAGCCUGAUGGAGCAACGCCGCGUGCAGGAUGAAGGCCUUAGGGUUGUAAACUGCUUUUAUAUGUGAAGAUAUGACGGUAGCAUAUGAAUAAGGAUCGGCUAACUCCGUGCCAGCAGCCGC
rnacentral:rRNA from 1 species